rnacentral:lncRNA from 1 species
AUUUUUCAGUUUUUCAGAGCCCUAUUUUUUUUUAGAAAAAUUUCAAAUGCCAUUCGUAUAAUUUUGUAUUUUCUCACUUUAGUGUCCUAUGGUUUAAAGUAUAUUACUUUCGUACACUAUGAUUUUAUUUUUUUUCUUUUUAUUAUCCGUUUUACUAAUUUUUUUUAUUAAAUCAGUGGUUAAAAUUAAAGGACACUAAAAUGAAUAUUUGAUAAAUUAUAGAUAUGGUAUCUGAAGUUUUUUGCAUAUAACUUAACAAAAAGUUAACAGAGAAACUGACGAAAAAAUAAAAUAAAAUAAAAUCACAGUAUACUAAAGCGAGAAAGUACGAAACUAUAUGAUAUUAAAAUAGAAAACCGCGAAAUUACAGAAAUAAUAUUUGAAGUUUAUUUUUUUUUCUUUUCUAUAGAAAAUC